AAAAUAAAAUCAGAUUCUUUCAUAAUCGUUUUUAAUUUGUUACGAAACCUAGAUUGCUGAAUUGACACUAAUCAAGAACCAUGGUGUUCAUCGUUCCACCCACCGGAAAAAUCCUAUCCCUCGACAUAAACCCUAGCACCACCACUCUUCAUAAUCUGAAGCACCAAAUCGAACAAUUUCACGGUAUACCAAUUUCACAGCAACGAUUAUUCCUUUCACAGAGUCUUCGAUUACUCGGCGAUAACGAUUCUCUUCUAAUAUCAAAUCUCGGCGUUGGAAAUUACUCAACCCUAACCCUACACGUUCCCUUCUAUGGCGGUACUCAACCUCCCGCCGUUCCCAAACCGCCUCGAUUCGAUUUUCUCAAUUCAAAACCGCCUGCUAAUUACGUCGCCGGACUUGGUCGUGGUGCCACCGGGUUUACCACAAGGUCUGAUAUUGGUCCUGCUCGUGCUGCUCCUGAUUUGCCGGAUAGAUCCGCUGCGGCGGCCGGUGCUGCUCCUGGUGUUGGAAGGGGGAGAGGUAAAGGUGGGGAUGAUGCUGCUGAGGAAGAUGAUGAAGGAGAGGAUAAGGGAUAUGAUGAGAAUCAGAAAUUUGAUGAGUUUGAAGGUAAUGAUGUUGGUUUAUUUGCUUCUGCUGAAUAUGAUGAGGAUGAUAGAGAAGCUGAUGCUGUUUGGGAAGGGAUUGAUAAGAGAAUGGAUUCGAGAAGGAAGGAUCGUAGGGAAGCUAGGUUGAAGCAAGAGAUUGAGAAGUAUAGAGCUUCGAAUCCGAAAAUUACUGAACAAUUUGCUGAUUUGAAGAGGAAGUUGUAUACUUUAUCUACUGAUGAUUGGCAGAGUUUAGAGAAGUUUGAGAGUGGUGGUUAUUCUUCGAAGAAUAAGAAGAAGAGGUUUGAGAGUUUUGUUCCUGUUCCUGAUACACUUCUUGAGAAAGCAAGGCAAGAGCAAGAGCAUGUUACUGCGUUGGAUCCUAAGAGUAGGGCCGCUUCGGCAAAUGGUACUGAGACUCCAUGGUCACAAACACCUGUUACUGAUUUAACUGCUGUUGGUGAGGGUAGAGGUACUGUUUUGUCAUUGAAAUUGGAUAGGUUGUCUGAUUCAGUUUCCGGUAUGACUAAUGUUGAUCCAAAGGGGUAUCUCACUGUUCUUAAUAGUAUGAAAAUUACUAGUGAUGCUGAGAUUUCUGAUUUUAAGAAGGCUAGGUUGUUGCUCAAGAGUGUUACUCAAACGAAUCCGAAACAUCCUCCCGGUUGGAUUGCUGCUGCGAGGUUGGAGGAGUUGGCUGGUAAGCUUCCGGUGGCUAGGCAAUUGAUACAGAAAGGGUGUGAAGAAUGUCCCAAGAAUGAAGAUGUGUGGCUUGAGGCUUGUAGGCUGGCGAAUCCCGAUGAAGCGAAAGCUGUGAUAGCUCGGGGUGUUAAAUCGAUUCCCACUUCUGUUAAGUUGUGGAUGCAGGCUUCGAAAUUGGAAAGCGAUGAUAUGAAUCGGAGUAGGGUGUUGAGGAAAGGGCUUGAGCACAUUCCUGAUUCGGUUAGAUUGUGGAAGGCUGUUGUGGAGCUUGCAAAUGAAGAAGAUGCUAGACUUUUGCUUCACAGAGCUGUGGAAUGUUGUCCUUUGCAUGUGGAAUUGUGGCUUGCUCUUGCUAGGUUGGAAACUUAUGACAAUGCUAAGAAGGUUCUCAAUAGGGCAAGAGAGAGGCUGCCCAAGGAGCCGGCUAUAUGGAUAACAGCUGCCAAGUUGGAAGAAGCUAAUGGGAACACAUCCAUGAUUGGCAAGAUUAUUGAGAGGGGUAUAAGGGCUUUGCAGAGAGAAGGUGUGGUGAUUGAUAGAGAAGCUUGGAUGAAGGAAGCAGAGGCUGCAGAACGGGCUGGUUCGGUUGCAACUUGCCAAGCAAUAAUCCACAAUACAAUUGGAAUUGGAGUUGAAGAAGAAGAUAGGAAGAGGACAUGGGUAGCUGAUGCGGAGGAAUGCAAGAAAAGAGGUUCUAUUGAGACUGCUAGAGCUAUAUAUGCUCAUGCCUUGACUGUCUUCUUAACUAAGAAGAGCAUAUGGCUCAAAGCAGCACAGCUUGAGAGGAGUCAUGGUACUAGGGAAUCUCUUGAUGCAUUACUUCGUAAAGCAGUUACUUACAGACCUCAGGCUGAAGUUCUUUGGCUUAUGGGUGCCAAGGAGAAGUGGCUUGCUGGAGACGUGCCUGCAGCUCGUGCUAUUCUCCAAGAAGCUUACGCCGCCAUUCCCAAUUCGGAGGAAAUAUGGCUUGCGGCUUUUAAACUAGAGUUUGAAAAUCACGAGCCCGAAAGAGCUAGAAUGUUGUUGGCUAAAGCAAGGGAGAGAGGAGGUACAGAGAGAGUCUGGAUGAAAUCUGCUAUCGUAGAGAGAGAACUAGGAAACAUUGAAGAGGAAAGGAAACUGUUAAAUGAAGGAUUGAAGCAAUUCCCUUCAUUUGAUAAAUUGUGGUUGAUGCUUGGCCAACUUGAGGAACGGCUUGCUAAGCAGCAGGAUCAGCCUGAGAAGCAGCAUGCUCACAAGAUGGAAGCUAAGAAGGUAUAUGAUUCGGGACUGAAACCCUGUCCUAAUUCUGUACCCCUUUGGCUCUCUCUUGCUAAUCUUGAAGAGGAGAUGAGUGGGUUGAGUAAAGUUCGUGCAAUUCUCAUAAUGGCUCGAAAGAGGAAUCCUCAAAAUCCUGAACUCUGGCUAGCAGCUGUUAGAGCAGAAUUAAAGCAUGGAGAGAAGAAAGAAGCUGAUAGUUUGAUGGCAAAAGCAUUGCAGGAGUGUCCCAACAGUGGCAUUCUAUGGGCGGCUUCCAUUGAGAUGGCUCCUCGUCCCCAGCGUAGAAGCAAGAGUAUGGAUGCCCUAAAGAAAUGUGACCAUGAUCCCCAUGUUAUAGCUGCCGUUGCCAAAUUAUUCUGGAUAGACAGGAAGGUGGACAAAGCCAGGAGUUGGUUGAAUAGGGCUGUGACACUUGCUCCUGACAUAGGUGAUUUUUGGGCUUUGUGCUACAAAUUUGAAUUACAGCAUGGAACUGAGGAGAACCAGAAAGAUGUAUUGAAGAGAUGUGUUGCUGCUGAACCAAAACACGGGGAGAAAUGGCAAGUGGUCUCAAAGGCAAUAGAGAACUCUCACCAACCAACAGAAUCCAUCUUGAAGAAAGUGGUGAUUGCACUAGGGAAGGAGGAGAAGGCAGCUGAGGAUAGUAAACAUUGAUUUACCAGAAAUGUCGCUUCUUUCUGUCAAAAAAAAUGGUUUGUAGCAUCUUUACCAUUGGUAGCUCAAGAACAUGAUAUGGGACCAAAGGAUUCUGCUUAUAUUUGUGGAUAUACCAAUCAUCAUAGGCUGUUAGAGUGGAGCUUGGCAAGUUUAAAAUAGAUUGGUAGGGUCUGACUUGCAUGUACUCCUUAAAUUUAAUAGUCUACUUUGAAAAUAUCUUCUUACCUAUUAUCAUAUUUCUUCUUUUGACGGAAAGGCGGACAGUAUUCUAUCCAUACUGAUUUAACUUUGACUCGGCUGUUUAGAAAGGUA